rnacentral:rRNA from 1 species
GACGAACGCUGGCGGCGUGCUUAACACAUGCAAGUCGAGCGGAAAGGCCCUUCGGGGUACUCGAGCGGCGAACGGGUGAGUAACACGUGAGUAAUCUGCCCCAGGCUCUGGGAUAGCCACCGGAAACGGUGAUUAAUACCGGAUACGACAACCGAUUGCAUGAUCUGGUUGUGGAAAGUUUUUCGGCCUGGGAUGUGCUCGCGGCCUAUCCGCUUGUUGGUGAGGUAAUGGCUCACCAAGGCUUCGACGGGGAGCCGGCCUGGGAGGGUGACCGCCCACACUGGGACUGAGACACGGCCCUGACUCCUACGGGAGGCAGCAGUGAGGAAGAUUGGACAAUGGGCGGAAGCCUGAUCCAGCAACGCCGCGUGGGGGAUGACGGCCUUCGGGUUGUAAACCUCUUUCAGCACAGACGAAGCGCAAGUGUCGGUAUGUGCAGAAGAAGGACCGGCCAACUACGUGCCAGCCGCCGCCGUAAUAC